UACCAGCUCUCCGAGUUGUAGGGAUGAUUAUUGGGCUUAAAGCGUCCGUAGCUGGCUUAGCAAGUCUCCUGUUAAAUUCAGCGACCUAAUCGUUGAGCCGCGGGAGAUACUACUAGGCUAGGAGGCGGGAGAGGUCGACGGUACUUUCGGGGUAGGGGUGAAAUCCUAUAAUCCCGGGAGGACCACCAGUGGCGAAGGCUGUCGACUAGAACGCGCUCGACGGUGAGGGACGAAAGCUGGGGGAGCGAACCGGAUUAGAUACCCGGGUAGUCCCAGCUGUAAACUAUGCGGGCUAGGUGUUGGGGUGGCUACGGGCCACUUCAGUGCCGCAGGAAAGCCAUUAAGCCCGCCGCCUGGGGAGUACGGGCCGCAAGGCUGAAACUUAAAGGAAUUGGCGGGGAGCACCACAAGGCGUGAAGCUUGCGGUUC
rnacentral:rRNA from 1 species